rnacentral:lncRNA from 1 species
GACGACCGAGCUCCUUUGUACAGGAAGUUGACACCUGACAGGUGCGCACGAACCUUUGAGACACUCGAUGCAGUGGUCAUGAUGAUAGAUGUGAAGCAGAGAUGACUAUCGCAGUAUCGGUUGUCUUCUUAAUGUCACUGUUUACAUGCUGUGUUGCCCCAAGAUGUUAUGUAUGCAACCAAAACGACGACAGAUGCGGCGAUCAUUUUGGAAUGAAGACCACGGAGGCCAAACCCUGUCCUGAUGGCACCUGCGUCAAGUACCGCGGUGAACGCUACUCAAACAAAGUCCGUAUUGUGGAGGUGACAAGAAUGUGCAUAGAACUGCGAGGUGACGGAGAGUAUUCAACAGUAUGGAAUGGGAUAUCAGUCAGUGCAAAUGCCUGCAACUCUGACUAUUGCAAUCAUAGCGCUUUAUUGUCAUACAGCUCUACGCUGCUGACCUCUUUCGUCAUGUUAGUAAUGUAUUGUUUUAGUUUUCAGCUGUUAUGAGUGAAAAAAAAUGUAUGCAUAGGAUGAGAUUAUUUAUGAUUUUCUUGAACAGAUGUCUUCAUGUUACAAUGAUGCCUUAUGCUACAAAAUUAAGAACACAACAAAUAUAAACAAAACCUUCCACAAGUGGUUUAAGCCUGCAACUAUCUGAAUCAAGCAGUGGUAUGUAAUAUACUUUUCUGGUAAGAAGGGGUCAAAGUUUUUCAGCUAGGGUGACUAUACGAUGCUUGUAAAAAGACCUUUGAUACACACCUUUGUGAUAAGCGUUAUGACUAUUAAUUACAUCUGAAAAUCCAACUGAUGAGUAUGGUGAUAAUAUAAUUAUCUCACCACAACUAAAACUCUAAUCUGCGCCUUUCCGCUGUUGAGGAUUGACUUUUGUAAUUCUCUCUUGGCUGGCACUCCCAUGUAUGUUCUUGACAGACUUCAAAUGAUCCAGGAUAAUACUGCUUGCCUCAUCUACAGACCACCUUGAUGUAAACGUCUCCUAUCAUUUGCUUUCUUGACUGGGUGCCAAUCGCGGAUCAUAUAACCUAGAAACUUUCCACUUUGACUUACUCCGCUGUUUUUGGCACCAGUCCUCGGUACCUCUCCGAAGUCAUUCCUAUACGCCUACUUAACUAUUCAUCUUCCGACAUCAAGUUUCUUUGAGCACAAAGGCAAAGAUGUAUAGACAGAGGUCUUUUUCCUGACAAUCCCCAUCAACUUAGAACAUCAGCCUUCAUCCCUCCAAUUCUCUUACCAUCUUGAAGUACAAAGGCACAUCUUUUCAAAAUGGCAACUUCACUGUGACCCUGAGUGUGCAUAAUGUAUCUCUGUUGUAGAAGUGAGCAAAUGUUGGUAUGUGGUUGUUAAUAAUUCAGUCAGUAUAUCAUUUCUGUAAAGCAUUCUGAGCAAAUCAUUGGAAAAGUGCUAUAUAAAUCAUUGUUAUUAUCUUCUCAACUGUUUUGCUAAUUAUGCACAAUUUACUGAUUUAAUAUUUAAAAAAUAUUUUAGACCGUGCAACUGUGUGUAGAGAAUGCAUUGGAUGAAAAAAGUGAAAGCAUUAUAAAUACUGAUUCAGUUCA